GCUUAACCGAAGAAGUGCAUCGGAAACUGGGUGACUUGAGUGCAGAAGAGGACAGUGGAACUCCAUGUGUAGCGGUGGAAUGCGUAGAUAUAUGGAAGAACACCAGUGGCGAAGGCGGCUGUCUGGUCUGCAACUGACGCUGAGGCUCGAAAGCAUGGGUAGCGAACAGGAUUAGAUACCCUGGUAGUCCAUGCCGUAAACGAUGAGUGCUAGGUGUUGGAGGGUUUCCGCCCUUCAGUGCCGGAGCUAACGCAUUAAGCACUCCGCCUGGGGAGUACGACCGCAAGGUUGAAACUCAAAGGAAUUGACGGGGGCCCGCACAAGCGGUGGAGCAUGUGGUUUAAUUCGAAGCUACGCGAAGAACCUUACCAGGUCUUGACAUCUUGCGCUAACCUAAGAGAUUAGGCGUUCCCUUCGGGGACGCAAUGACAGGUGGUGCAUGGUCGUCGUCAGCUCGUGUCGUGAGAUGUUGGGUUAAGUCCCGCAACGAGCGCAACCCUUGUUACUAGUUGCCAGCAUUCAGUUGGGCACUCUAGUGAGACUGCCGGUGACAAACCGGAGGAAGGUGGGGACGACGUCAGAUCAUCAUGCCCCUUAUGACCUGCGCUACACACGUGCUACAAUGGUCGGUACAACG
rnacentral:rRNA from 1 species